rnacentral:rRNA from 1 species
CCUACGGGUGGCAGCAGUGGGGGAUAUUGCACAAUGGGGGGAACCCUGAUGCAGCGACGCCGCGUGGGUGAAGGAGCGUUUCGGCGCGUAAAGCCCUAUCGGCAGGGAAGAAGAUGACGGUACCUGGCCAAGAAGCCCCGGCUAACUACGUGCCAGCAGCCGCGGUAAUACGUAGGGGGCAAGCGUUAUCCGGAUUUACUGGGUGUAAAGGGGGCGCAGACGGCAAUGCAAGCCAGGAGUGAAAGCCCGGGGCCCAACCCCGGGACUGCUCUUGGAACUGCAUGGCUGGAGUACAGGAGGGGCAGGCGGAAUUCCUAGUGUAGCGGUGAAAUGCGUAGAUAUCGCGCAGAACUCCGAUUGCGAAGGCAGCGUACCGGCGCCAGACUGACGCUGAGGCACGAAAGCGUGGGGAUCGAACAGGAUUAGAUACCCGAGUAGUC